rnacentral:antisense_RNA from 1 species
GAUUUUUCUCAAAUUUUGCUAGUGACAACAAUCCUUUUAACUCACUCCCACUACGUUUUAGAG